rnacentral:lncRNA from 1 species
UUUUUUUUUUUUUUUUUUUGAGACAGGGUCUCACUCUGUCACCCAGGUCACCCAGGCUGGAGUUCAGUGGUGUGAUCUUGGCUCACUGCAGCUUCAACCUCCUGGAUUCAAGCCAUCCUCCUACCUCAACCUCCCAAGUAGCUGGGACUACAUGUGUGUGCCAUCACACCUGACUAAUUUUUGUAUUUUUAGUCGAAACAGGAUUUCACCACAUUGCCCAGGCUGGUCUCGAACUCCUGAGCUCAAGUGAUCUGCCUGCCUUAGCCUCCCAAAGUGCUAGGAAUACAGGCGUGAGCCACUAUGUUCAGCCUUGCAUAAACAUCUUUAUGCGUGAAACUACAAAUCAUGAAUCUGAAGUAAAAUUAAAUAAUCAGUUUCAACUUCCAAGACAUUUGAAAGUCCAUCUAUUAGGUUGAACUGUAUGAAAUUACUGAUACUUGACAAUUGACCUUCAAAAACAGCAAUUUCAUAUAUUUCAAACAAAAUAAAUGUACAUUCUUGUGCUACAUAAUGACAUUUCAGUCAACAAUGGAUUGCAUACGCAACGGUGGUCCCAUCAGAUUAUAAUGGAGUGAAACAUUCCUGUUGAAAUCAUCCCUAUACAUUUUAUUAAAUUAAUCAGGGAAGAAAGGAAGGGUAGAAAUGAAAAUAAACCAAGCUGCAGUACAUUCAGCAUUAACCAUCAGGUCAGACUGCUCUCUGACCCACUUCCUCACAGUCGUUUGCUUCCUAUUGCCCCAGAGUUACGUGGACCCCAUCUCAAGGUUAUUGUCCCCCUUAACUGUUCUAAAGAUAACAACUUAAGCAUUGUGAAGCAUUAAGUUUUCCAUUCAAGAUAUUCUUUCAGAUCCUGCCUACUGGCAAAACAAAUGUUAAAGAAUGCAAUUUCCACAUUCUAUUGAUUUCAUUCUCCUUGCCCCAGUUAAUCAAUGACCCCAAAUUUUCCGGCCCCAUGCUCUCCAUGACCACCUUAAAAACUCCAGCCCAAAACUCCUUGAGAAGACAGGUUUGUGGGUUCCUCCCAUCUCCUUGCUCAGCUGCCCUGCAACUAUUAAACUUUCUCUGCUGCAAAUCCUGCUGACUCAAUGUAUUGGGAUGUUACUGUGCAGUGGGCAUGCAAACCUGUGGUCCUGUAACACUAUUACCUAGUACCCUGUAAACAUCAUAACGUGCAAUGUGUUACUCACAUGUUUGUGGUGAUGCUGGUGUGAAGAAACUUCCUGCACUGCCAGUCAUAUAAAAGUAUAGCACAAUUCUGUGCAGUACAUAACACUUGACAAUUAUAAUAAAUUGCUCUGUUACUGGUGAAUGUAUUUAUUAUAGUUUUAUUGUUAUUUUAGAGUGUACCCUUUCUACUUAUUAAAAACAAUUUUCUGUAUAAUAGUAUGCUGUGUUACCCUAUCAACAGCCUCAUUCAUCUCAAUGUUUACCUGGUCUCUUGAUUGCAUCAUUUUCUCUUACGUUUGGUUUAAGUAUUAUUAUAAAACAGUCAAAAAUUUAAGAAAAAAAUUAAAGAGUUUAUAAAGUAAAAAUUUUACAGUAAGCUAAGGUUAAUUUAUUAUUGAAGAAAGAAUUUUUUGUAAAUUCAGGGUAGCCUAUGUAUAGUGUUUAUGAAAUCUACAGAAGUGUAAAGUAAUAUACUAGGCCUUCCCAUUCACUCACCACUCAUUCACUGACUCACCAAGAGCAACUUCCAGUCCUGCAAGCUCCAUUCAUGGUGAGUUCUCUAUACCGUUGUAUCAUUUUUUAUAUCUUUCAUAUAAUAUUUUUAGUCUUUCUAUGUUUACAUAUAUUUAGAUACACAAAUAUUUACCAUUGUGCUACCAUAUUCAGUACAGUAAUAGGCUGUACAGAUUUGUAGCCUAUGAACAAAAGGCUAUAUGAUAUUGCCUAGGUGUGCAGUGGGCUAUACCAUCUAGGUUUGUGUAAGUACACCCUGUGAUGUUCAGACAACAAUGAA